GGGGCCUUAGCUCAGCUGGGAGAGCGCCUGCAUGGCAUGCAGGAGGUCAGGAGUUCGAUCCUCCUAGGCUCCA
rfam:Leisingera methylohalidivorans DSM 14336 strain MB2, DSM 14336, complete genome.